UCUCCAAACACAUUCCACAUGUGAGCACAGCACAGGAGAAGCAAAUGGGAUAAGAAUUGUUUUCCUUUUCUCUGAGGCUUCUCAGCUUCCCGGGAGGAAAAUCCUGGGUGAAGGGAUUUUUCAGAAGACGUGAAUGCCACAGGCUGGGGAUGCUGCCGAGCCUGCAGCCCCAGGCUGUGCCCAGCAGUGCAGGGCUGGGAGGGGACACAGCGAGCCCGGCUCUGCUCCUGCCCUGCCAGAGGAGCACAGACAGCAGCAGGAGGAGCUCCGGGCUCCUUUCAUCCAGCUCUGCUGUGGCAGACGGCCACGGGCUGUCCUGGCCGCCUUGGGAACAAUGGAGAGGAAGGCUUUGAUUCCAGCAGCGAUGGACACCCUCCUGCUCCAGGGUGGUGCCGAUGGAAGGAACUGGGGGCUCGGUUAUUUGCUUUUAUCCUUUGUUAACCGCUGCUAACUUCUUGUUGUGGGAACUGCUGUGACUCCUCUGCAGGGUUUAUUUAUGCUUUUUGCCUGACGUGGCUCGCAGGAGGCCUUUGAUAUUCAGCCCCGGGAGUGUCCCCUGGCCUGGGAAUGGGAAGAGCUGAGCCGGGCUCAUCCAGCCCAGGCCAGGGGCUGCUGUCCCACUGUCCUGGCACUGCACAUUGUCCAUUGUGGGCUGUCCCCAGCCUGCUGGGUUGGAUUACUCUUAGUUUUUCAGAGAAAAUAGAAUAAAAUAUUUAUUCUAUUAUCAGUCAAAAUAGAAUAUUUUUUUCUAUUAUCAGUCUCGAUGAAAGGUAAGACAUAAGAGAUGUAAAACUUUAUUCUAUCAGAAGUAAACCUAUUUCUUGCUCAGAAUACCUUUUAAAUGUUUUUUAGCCUAUUAGCAUUUGCUACACAAUGUAGCAAAAUUGUGUAGACUUUCUCUCGGGUUUUAAGAAUUCUUUACAAAUCGAUUUCCCCCCGGUGAUUUGUGCCCAGCCUUGCCCUCCUGUGCCACAGCAAUGUCCCUGGCCAGCAGCAAAGGUGGCUGAGAGCAGCUGCUGGUGCUGCAGCGCCGGCAGGGGGAGAAGAUGCGAUUGGGCACUUCGGGGAAUUUGUGGGGUUUUUCUCGGGAGAGAAGAACUAGGAGGAUACAGAGCUUUUUGCACUGGGUUCAUGCUUCAGGUUCAUGCCAGGGACAGGUGGGGAUACCCAGCAUGUGAUCCUGGAGAGCUCUGCUCAGGCCCCCUCCCCCAGGGGCUGCACUGAGUCCGGGCUGCCGGGGAUGAUUCCCCAGCUCCCCAGGGCUUGGCUUGCCCCUGUGCUGUAACACUGCCACAUCAGUGCCUUUUACCACAGCUCCUGUUCACAGGAGGCUCCUUCUGCCCCUUGCUGCCCAGAUCCAUUUGUCUGGGUACUGGGUGAAAACAGCUUUUAUAAUGAUGCAAAAAUGGAGGGAAUAACUCAUAUCUGAACUCCCCCUGAGCCCAGUCUCUUGGAUACAUGCUAGGAAUCGUAGUUAAUACUGUUUUUCACCACACAACAGCCUCCCCAGGCAGCAGAGAUGACAAUUCCCAGGAACCAUAACCCCCUUGAGUGUGUUUACCCAACUCAAAAUGCACUUUAUAACAUUAUAUCACCUUCAACCCACUCUGCAAUUUUACAUGCUGGGAUUUGAAAUAAGUACAAGCACUGUUUGUGCUCUGUGUCUUACAGAGACCUUGGAAAUGUGCAUUUAAUGAUGAAUUUAGGAGCUGUGGAUGGGAGUUUUACAAUCAGUGUCACUUCAGUCACAGGAGCCAGCAGCCACCAACAAUUGAUUUUACCAGGCAGCUGUUUGAGCAGCUCCAGCUCCUGAAUUGAAGGAAGUGUUUUCCUGAAAUGCAGACAGAAAUGCUCCUGGGUUUUCUGGCUCAGGAAAUCAGUCUUCAAAUCUGAGGCUGACUUUGGAGCCACAGACACCAGCAGUCCCCACCAGGCUGGUAGGAGCCCAGUGAGUCCAGCCCUGCCAGAAGUGACAAAUUCCAGUUCUCCUGCUUUGCAGACUUCAUGUCCUUGACAUAUUUUUAUUUCAUGGGCUUUGUCAGAAGAUGCCAAACCAGGCUGCUCCUUCCUUUCAGAAGAAGGCACUGUGGCUUAAAUCUAAACACAAGCCCCCUGGUAUUCUAUAUUAUUAUAACUAUAUAUAUUAUUUCAGAUCUUCCUGGAAAUUAAAGCAAAAAUAUGUUUCUUUUUAAAGUGUUUUGCACCUUCAUAUUUCUGCUUGAAAAUAAAAACAUUGUACCUCUUUCAA